UCUUCUAGAUCAAGCAUGGUGCUGGAGCUGUUGUCUCCAAGAAUGGUUGUAUUCAGCUGGAAGAGCCACUGCCUGACCAUACAUAUCUCUCUUAAAGAAGUGGUUUCCAUUUUAUGUGGGCUCUUGACCACUACAUGGGCAUCUCUGUCAAGAUAUUUUGCUUACUGCCGUCGCAGCCAGCAGCGGCCCCAGAGGAGGGGGAGGCAGGGGGCGAGCCCCCGGUGGGUCCGGAGGGCGCUGCCCGCCCCCGUUACGGGCCUUUUGGUGGGGGGGCCGCCCCGCCCUGCUCCGCCCCGUUCUACAGCGGGGCGCUGCCAGUGUCGCGGCCGCUGUCACCGUCUUUGUCGCGGACACUGUCGGCCCCCGAGGGUGCGGAGCGUGAAGCAGAUGCUCCCUUCCAAAAUGACUUUCCAAGCCCUGUUUCUGAGUCUAUUUUGUGUUGUGCUCGGAAAGGCAAAUGUGAUUACUCAGACUGAACACAUGAAGGUGAAUGAGGGCGACAUCGCGACUCUCAGUUGUACCCUGACAGAGCCUGAGGAUGUUCUGCAAGUGACCUGGCAGAAGGACUCUGAAAAAACACACAAUAAUAUAGCUACGUACAGCACCCUGAAAGGAUUAAAGAUCCAUGAGCCCUACCAAGACCGGAUGAAUUUCACAAGUCUGGUACUCAAUGACACGAGCAUCACUUUCUGGGCAGCGAGACUGGAUGAUACAGGGUGUUACACGUGCCUCUUCAACGUCUUCCCUCGUGGUUCCUUGUCGGGACGGACCUGCCUGAGUGUCUUUGGUCUCAGUGCAUCUGUCCACUAUAACAUUUCCGAAGGUCAUUUGAUAGCCAUCUGUAACGCUGUUGGCCUCCCAGAGCCCACCAUCAGCUGGAACAACCUGUUCAAUUACACCCCGACACAGGAGAGGGUCAGGCACACCAACGGGGUAGUGUCUGUCACCAGUAAACUGGAGAUCUCUGACUCUCAGAGCAUCAGUAAGCAGGACUUGAUCUGCAGAGUAAGCAACAAGAAUGAAGAAAUGGAAUUGCCCGUAAAAAUCAAAAAAGAAGAGGGAUUCUCAUUCCUGGGUCUGAUGAUUGCUCUGGGUAUUUUACUUGUCAUCUUGGUCCUGAUUCUGAUCACUCUGAGGUGGAGGAAGAGGAUAUGCAAGAGGACCUAUGGCGGAAAAAAGUUCCCAGGGCCUUCUCUGCUAGUGAAAGAUGCUGCAGUGCUAAUUCUGAUACCAGGUAUCCUCUUGCCAACAGACCAACGCUUCAAAAUUCUUCAGAGGAGGAAAAAAUGAAGCCACCUGAAACAGUUAAAAUUUCUCCCUGUGAAUUUAUCAGCUUGUACGGCUCAAUAGAAAUCUACACUUCAGCAAGGGCUGCACCACUGGAAGAUUUUUGCAGAGAAAUGUGAUGUCCUCAGGAUUUCAGGGUGAGUUUUUGCUCUGCUUUUGUUCACUUCCAUUCUGAAUUUGUUUCUUGGCACCCUAUCCCUUAAUGUGAGAUCAGCCAGAGUACUUUCACAGUUUUGUCUUGUCUCCGUCUUGUCUUUUUUUUCUCUUUCAUAGACUUAGAGCUCUGAAGCCCCUCCAAGAAAGAAGAAACACCACCCUGGAAGAUGAGAGCCUUGCGUGGGCACCGAAAGCUGUUUCUAGUCAACCUUUGCUUCAUUGAGAAGAGUGCAGAGUGAAAGCUGAGCAUGUGAUUCACUAUCAGAGGGAAGGUUUUUGUCUCGGUGGUGGUGGUGGUGGCUGAGCUGCAGCAAAUGGCACAGCACUGGUGUUGAGUGGAGUCCUAGAAAAACUACGCACAGAUACAUGUAAGUAAUGCAUAUGAAUUGGCUCAUCUAGAAAAUCUCACUUUAAAAGAGAGAUUGUUUAUCUGUGAAUAAAGGUCACUUGAUGAAAACCUAGAUGCCACAGCACUAGCUUAAGGCAGCAAAGUGCUACUCUUGAGUUGAUGCAAAAUGAUCACUCUCAGGUUCUCAGCUUGCUGACGCAUAUUCUAUACUCCAAACUUGGACAGUUGACCAAGCAAGUUUCCUCUCAACACAAAGACUAAAAUCAAUGACACAAAACAUGUAUAACUACAUGGGUUCAUUAUAACAUGAAGUCCUCUGUCUCACAGGCCAAGAUUCAUAGCAGUUAAAAGAUCAGUCUCUUAAUGAUGUUUCCAAUAUUGAUUUUCCAUUUCUUUAUCUAUGUUACAGUAACUAUGGCAGCAGUAUUCUAUUUGUGGAUCCCUGGAGAUGUGUGUGUACAUUGGGAAGGGAGAAAGUGGAAUCGGACUUUGAAGCUGGGGUUCAGGCUAGGUAGUAAACUACAGUGGUUAGGAAUGUAGAGGAAUAGUAAGAUCACUUGUGUGAAACUAAAAGGGUAUGAGUGCAGUUGAUUCACAUGGAUGACAUACCUCUGGCCUGUGUGGAUGGAAACCAUCCAGCCUCUGGGCUUACUUGGUUCCUAGGCAUUUCCUUUUCAUUAGGUGAGCAGGAACUGCACAUGAGCAGGCCUGCCUCUGGUGUAGUUUUUUUUGUUUGUUUUCUUUU